GUACAUACAUAUAUCAUAGCAUUAAUGCAUUGUAUCCCAUUAGAAAUUUGUAUUUAAGCGUGCUUGGGAGAGAGUAGUACUAGGAUGGGUGACUUCUCGGGAAAUCCUAGUGUUUUACAUGCC
rnacentral:rRNA from 1 species